GAGUCUUAGCUCAGCUGACAGAGCACCUGCCUCGCAAGCGGAAGGUUGCAGGUUCAGUCCCUGCCAGCAUCU